rnacentral:rRNA from 1 species
UACGGUAGGGUGCGAGCGUUUAAUCGGAAUUGCUGGGCGUAAAGCGUGCGCAGGCGGUUCGUUGUGUCGGUGGUAGAAAUCCCCGGGCUUAACCUGGGAAGUGGACCAUGGAAACUGGCGAACUGGAGUGUGGCAGAGGGGGGGUGGGAAUUCCGGCGUGUAGCAGUGAAAUGCGUAGAGAUGCGGAGGAACACCGAUGGCGAAGGCAGCCCCCUGGGCUAGCACGUGACGCUCAGGCACGAAAGCGUGGGGAGCAAACAGG